GAGAGGCAGAAAAAACUUGAACAAUCCGGGCACCGCUGAUAGCAGAGAAACUAUAUCCUCCCUGUGUAGAUAGAAAUUCGCAUUUGGGCAUUUUUUAAGGUAUAUCCUGCUGUUUUGUUCUUGUCUACCUUCCUGGAAAAGCUCAACUCCUUACACAUCUGAAAAACCAAGCAUCGAGCAAAGUGCUCCUGUACAAUUAGCUGGAGUUGCCAGAUUGCCAGCAGAGAUUUCAGCCCAGGUGGAUGCAGUUCAUAGAAGAGAGAUCCCCGAGGAGCUCCUGCUCAUACUCCUCAGCUGCCAGAGGACUUACGGAGGUGUCCACCAGCACUGCUGCACUCCAGCUCCCUGUCUGACUGCUGACCAAACCAGUGACCUUCCACCCAGGUAGUGGAAACUAACUGUGGCAGAAGUUCUAGUGAAAUAGCUUCACAGCAAAGGAUAAACUGGAAAACUAAUCCUGAAGUAGAUACACUAAAAAUGUGUAGUUUAAGCUGGAUUUAACAAAAAAGCCUUUCCAGAAGCUGUUCUCUUAACAUAGCUUAUAGGCUCUUCUCACACAUGUUGAUACACCACGAUCAAAAUGUAACGGUUAACGCUUCUUUGAGGUUCUUGAAUUCUGUCACCUUACCUUAGCAGCUGCCUAGCCAUGGAUA